UACAGAGGUCUCAAGCGUUGUCCGGAUUCAUUGGGCGUAAAGAGCGUGUAGGCGGCCAGGCAGGUCCGCUGUGAAAACUCGAGGCUCAACCUCGAGAUGUCGGUGGAAACCGUCUGGCUAGAGUCCGGAAGAGGAGAGUGGAAUUCCCGGUGUAGCGGUGAAAUGCGCAGAUAUCGGGAAGAACACCCGUGGCGAAGGCGGCUCUCUGGGACGGUACUGACGCUGAGACGCGAAAGCGUGGGGAGCGAACAGG
rnacentral:rRNA from 1 species